GACGAGGGACCCAAGCGUUGUUCGGAAUCAUUGGGCGUAAAGCGGGUGUAGGUGGCUAAAUAAGUCAGAUGUGAAAGCCCUAGGCUCAACCUAGGAAGUGCAUUUGAUACUAUAUAGCUUGAGUGCCGGAGAGGUUACUAGAAUUCCUGGUGUAGUGGUGAAAUACGUAGAUAUCAGGAGGAACACCGGAGGCGAAGGCGGGUAACUGGCCGAGCACUGACACUCAGACCCGAAAGCGUGGGGAUCAAACAGG
rnacentral:rRNA from 1 species